rnacentral:tRNA from 1 species
GACCCCAUCGUCUAGUGGUCCAGGACCCCGCCCUUUCACGGCGGUAACAGGGGUUCAAAUCCCCUUGGGGUCGCCA